ACGAACGCUGGCGGCGUGCUUAACACAUGCCAGUCGAACGGAAAGACCCUGCUUUUGUGGGGUGCUCGAGUGGCGAACGGGUGAGUAACGCGUGAGUAACCUGCCCUUGACUUUGGGAUAACUUCAGGAAACUGGGGCUAAUACCGGAUAGGAGCUCCUGCUGCAUGGUGGGGGUUGGAAAGUUUCGGCGGUUGGGGAUGGACUCGCGGCUUAUCAGCUUGUUGGUGGGGUAGUGGCUUACCAAGGCUUUGACGGGUAGCCGGCCUGAGAGGGUGACCGGCCACAUUGGGACUGAGAUACGGCCCAGACUCCUACGGGAGGCAGCAGUGGGGAAUAUUGCACAAUGGGCGGAAGCCUGAUGCAGCAACGCCGCGUGCGGGAUGACGGCCUUCGGGUUGUAAACCGCUUUCGCCUGUGACGAAGCGUGAGUGACGGUAAUGGGUAAAGAAGCACCGGCUAACUACGUG
rnacentral:rRNA from 1 species